rnacentral:lncRNA from 1 species
CUGAAGUAAGUGGACGGUAGCUCACUCGAGAUUAGCUGGAGAGCUGUGGUACUUCGUUUAGAGACUAAGUAGUGAGUCAAUGCUCUGGUCAUGUAACACUGGGUAGAUUAGUAGUAUUGAACUCAUAUCUGAUUUGGAUAUGUUUUAUGUUAUUAAUUGUGAACAUGUUUAAUUGAAGAGAUUAUUGAGAGAUGAUCAUGGUAUGGGACAUGGAUCAUUU